UGCAUCGGCCGGGAAUCGAACUCGGGCCGCCCGCGUGGCAUUUUACCACUGAACCAUCGAUGC
rnacentral:tRNA from 1 species